GAGGGUGUUGCUCAGUGGUAGAGCACAUACUUAGCAUGCACGAGGUCCUGGGUUCAAUCCUCAGUACUUCCA
rnacentral:tRNA from 1 species